GAAAAGUAUGCCAGUAAAACCCGUAUUUGGAACCCGUACUACCGAAUUUGUGCUUCAGUUUUCUACCACAAGUUCGUAGUAACGAGUCUCGGCAACGAGGUUGAUCUCAGCAUGCAUGGG
rnacentral:precursor_RNA from 10 species